AAGAUACGAAUGAUGGAAUUCUAUAUGAGAGCGUGCCCUGUGGCCAAAAUUUUCAGACGAUUUAUGCUUGGGGCCUUGCCUAAGUCAAGUUUCUUUCUUCUGAAGCAAAAGCUAUCUAAGCAAAAUUCACCACAAAUUAGAAGUGGCAAUUUGUGUAGUUGACACAUGGUAAGAGUGAAAUGGAAACCCAAGGCUAGGUAAGAG
rnacentral:misc_RNA from 1 species